AGAAAGGUUAUAGUACAGAUUAUUGUUUAAGCUUAAGCAAUGUUUCAUCCAUCAUUCUCUAUUUAAAUCCUUAAAAUUGUGAUGUCUUUGUUGACAACAGGUCCUUUAGAGAGCUGAUCAUUCUUCCAAUCGAUUGCAAGCAGAUCAUUCCACUUAUUCUGCAGAUCAUUCCACUUAUUCUGCAGGAGUCUGAAUCUUCUUCGAACACAAGAGGUGAUGAGCUUCUUUCAGACUCCUUCCCCUACAAGGAACUCUUGAAUGGGAUCCUAUGAGAAGUUGAAGGAAAGAAUCUGAUCAAAUUAGGCCAUAAUCUGAAGAAAUGUGUUUAAGCUACGA